rnacentral:misc_RNA from 1 species
UGGCUCCAGCAUCGAUGAAGAACGCAGCAAAAUGCGAUAGCUAGCGCGAAUUGCAGAUUUACGUGAGUCAUCGAGUCUUUGAACGCACAUUGCGCCCCUCGGUAUUCCGUGGGGCAUGCCUGUCCGAGCGUCGUGUCACCGCUCCGGCCCCCGCCUGUCACAGGGCAAGUGUGGCCGGGUAUUGGGGUCUGCCGCCGCCCUUUUGGGCGGUCUGGCGGCCCUGGAAUGCAUUGGCGGCGCCUGCAGCGACCCGCAGCCCAGCGUUGAUGGGCUCGUUCGCCGCAGUGCGCCCGCCAGACCCCAACGGCCUUUCGGUCGAACGCAAAAGGUCGACCUCGGAUCAGGUAGGGCUACCCGCUGA